UAGCGGUUAUCACGUUCGCCUCACACGCGAAAGGUCCCCGGUUCGAAACCGGGCGGAAACAAACGUCCUUCCUUUCUGAAGUUUUUACCUUCCCAUUCCAAAAACCAAAACGGGCGAAAGGCAGGGGCUGAGGCGGCGGGCGCAGCCUCAGUUUCCAUCCCCAAGGUACAGGCCAGGAGUUCCCUUACUGCCUGAGAGCCUGCUCAGCACCAGGAACCCGCCCUCCUUUCUCUGCUCUGAGGCACCGCGGAGCGCAGGCCACAGCCAGCUAAUCCAAGUGGGCAAAGGACAAGGCUGACUUCGGGUCAGUUUUACAUCCGGAAAUCCCCUCACCUACUAAGCAGGCGCCUAAACCUCUUCCACAUGUUCACACGAGUUAUGUCUCUGAAAACCGAGGAGUUCAUCCCAGUGAGGCACACUUGGCUUUCCCCCACCUCGGCACACCUACGCAACAGUUUGAUCUGCGUGACGCCACAAAAGAGACCGAACCCGACUGUGCACCGGGGACCCGAGCCAAAGACACGGAAAUGAACAAUGUCAGGCUCCACGAAUUGAGCCGGUCGCGGAGGGGAAGGAGCCCGUAGCGGUGCCGUCUCCAGGAGAGCCCCCAGAGCCAGGGCAGAGAUCAGGAAGUGGACGGAUCCGCCCAUCACCUGCUGACAUCCCAGUCGGCAGCUGACUCAAGGGAAAAGCGAGGUUCAGGAAGAGAGCAGGACCUUGGCUCGGCAGCACACAGCGCUGAAGCUAGACCAGGACGGACCUUGUGUCCUGUCUCAGGGCCCAAGGCGUCGCCCAAGACUGGAGAGGUGAAGGGUGAUGAGCAGCCGGGCAAGGGCUGGGAGCCUUGCACAGCUGCAUUCAGCCCUGGGCUUCUGGGAAAUCUCCGUUCCUGCUCUCCGGGUCUCUGAAGUUUAGUCUUGACUUCUACAAUUUUCACGUGGAGACGCUACGUCGGGGCUCCUCAAUGGUUCCCUGGUGGUCUAGUGGCUAGGAUUCGGCGCUUUCACCGCUGCGGCCCGGGUUCGAUUCCCGGUCAGGGAAGCCUCUGCAAAAAUGUUUUUCUUCUUUUUCCCCUUCAGCGUCUCCACUGGCAGGCGUCUUCCUCUUCCUGCCCCGACCAGAGCUGUGUUUUGCUUCAAGGUUCAGAUGCAGACGAGCUUCUGCACUGAGUCCCCAAAUGCCGGCGAGUCCCGGCCUCAGGGUCCUUGACAUCGCGCAGGCUGGAGGACGUGAGAUGUAAUGAACAGCCUGGGCUGGCCGGCUCUCGCCUCGGCUCUUUUCCCCCUGCAUGUUACAAACCCGAAGUCUUAUUUACCGCGUUUUCAUCCCAAGAGAAUCGGAGACUCGAGUUCCAAACAUUCAUUAAGAACCACAACCAAAGCCCUUGGAAACAUACAAGAAAGUUGCAAGAGGAAUAACAUCGUAUAUUCUACCUAGUCAACAGGGUCCAGAGAAGACUGCCCAGAGUGACGUCUUUGACAACGUCCUGCCAAGCAACUUAUCCAAAGAGAAGAAUCUCGCUCAUCCCAGAGGUUUGAAAACGAAUAAAGGGAAACGUCACUCAGAUGAAGUCGGGAUACCAGAAGUGGGAGCUCUCAUGGGGUACCACUCAAGUUCAAAGACAGGAAGUAUCGUCAAUUACAAACCCAAACAGAAGAAGCAUCAGCAGGAAGAAUCCUCGAUUACAGGCCCCAACAGAAAAACAUAUUCGUUGCAUCUCCUGCAGGAAAUCAGCAACUUGGCAAUGAGAAACCGUCAUCACCCUGAACUUUCACUUUUCUCCAGUGGACUUGGGUUCAAAACAGCCUCCCUCAGCUUCCUCCUCUCUCUCUGUAAAACAAGGUUCCUUCCUCUCCUUUGUUUGUGGGACUUGCCUAUGGCUUUUGCUAUAGCUUGCUUGUCCUGAAUUGCCAUUCUUCCGCUAUUCCUGAAUAAACGCUUUUUGCUGGAAAAAAACA